rnacentral:rRNA from 5 species
ACUAAGCGUACACGGUGGAUGCCCUGGCAGUCAGAGGCGAUGAAGGACGUGCUAAUCUGCGAUAAGCGUCGGUAAGGUGAUAUGAACCGUUAUAACCGGCGAUUUCCGAAUGGGGAAACCCAGUGUGUUUCGACACACUAUCAUUAACUGAAUCCAUAGGUUAAUGAGGCGAACCGGGGGAACUGAAACAUCUAAGUACCCCGAGGAAAAGAAAUCAACCGAGAUUCCCCCAGUAGCGGCGAGCGAACGGGGAGCAGCCCAGAGCCUGAAUCAGUGUGUGUGUUAGUGGAAGCGUCUGGAAAGGCGCGCGAUACAGGGUGACAGCCCCGUACACAAAAAUGCACAUGCUGUGAGCUCGAUGAGUAGGGCGGGACACGUGGUAUCCUGUCUGAAUAUGGGGGGACCAUCCUCCAAGGCUAAAUACUCCUGACUGACCGAUAGUGAACCAGUACCGUGAGGGAAAGGCGAAAAGAACCCCGGCGAGGGGAGUGAAAAAGAACCUGAAACCGUGUACGUACAAGCAGUGGGAGCACGCUUAGGCGUGUGACUGCGUACCUUUUGUAUAAUGGGUCAGCGACUUAUAUUCUGUAGCAAGGUUAACCGAAUAGGGGAGCCGAAGGGAAACCGAGUCUUAACUGGGCGUUAAGUUGCAGGGUAUAGACCCGAAACCCGGUGAUCUAGCCAUGGGCAGGUUGAAGGUUGGGUAACACUAACUGGAGGACCGAACCGACUAAUGUUGAAAAAUUAGCGGAUGACUUGUGGCUGGGGGUGAAAGGCCAAUCAAACCGGGAGAUAGCUGGUUCUCCCCGAAAGCUAUUUAGGUAGCGCCUCGUGAAUUCAUCUCCGGGGGUAGAGCACUGUUUCGGCAAGGGGGUCAUCCCGACUUACCAACCCGAUGCAAACUGCGAAUACCGGAGAAUGUUAUCACGGGAGACACACGGCGGGUGCUAACGUCCGUCGUGAAGAGGGAAACAACCCAGACCGCCAGCUAAGGUCCCAAAGUCAUGGUUAAGUGGGAAACGAUGUGGGAAGGCCCAGACAGCCAGGAUGUUGGCUUAGAAGCAGCCAUCAUUUAAAGAAAGCGUAAUAGCUCACUGGUCGAGUCGGCCUGCGCGGAAGAUGUAACGGGGCUAAACCAUGCACCGAAGCUGCGGCAGCGACGCUUAUGCGUUGUUGGGUAGGGGAGCGUUCUGUAAGCCUGCGAAGGUGUGCUGUGAGGCAUGCUGGAGGUAUCAGAAGUGCGAAUGCUGACAUAAGUAACGAUAAAGCGGGUGAAAAGCCCGCUCGCCGGAAGACCAAGGGUUCCUGUCCAACGUUAAUCGGGGCAGGGUGAGUCGACCCCUAAGGCGAGGCCGAAAGGCGUAGUCGAUGGGAAACAGGUUAAUAUUCCUGUACUUGGUGUUACUGCGAAGGGGGGACGGAGAAGGCUAUGUUGGCCGGGCGACGGUUGUCCCGGUUUAAGCGUGUAGGCUGGUUUUCCAGGCAAAUCCGGAAAAUCAAGGCUGAGGCGUGAUGACGAGGCACUACGGUGCUGAAGCAACAAAUGCCCUGCUUCCAGGAAAAGCCUCUAAGCAUCAGGUAACAUCAAAUCGUACCCCAAACCGACACAGGUGGUCAGGUAGAGAAUACCAAGGCGCUUGAGAGAACUCGGGUGAAGGAACUAGGCAAAAUGGUGCCGUAACUUCGGGAGAAGGCACGCUGAUAUGUAGGUGAGGUCCCUCGCGGAUGGAGCUGAAAUCAGUCGAAGAUACCAGCUGGCUGCAACUGUUUAUUAAAAACACAGCACUGUGCAAACACGAAAGUGGACGUAUACGGUGUGACGCCUGCCCGGUGCCGGAAGGUUAAUUGAUGGGGUUAGCGCAAGCGAAGCUCUUGAUCGAAGCCCCGGUAAACGGCGGCCGUAACUAUAACGGUCCUAAGGUAGCGAAAUUCCUUGUCGGGUAAGUUCCGACCUGCACGAAUGGCGUAAUGAUGGCCAGGCUGUCUCCACCCGAGACUCAGUGAAAUUGAACUCGCUGUGAAGAUGCAGUGUACCCGCGGCAAGACGGAAAGACCCCGUGAACCUUUACUAUAGCUUGACACUGAACAUUGAGCCUUGAUGUGUAGGAUAGGUGGGAGGCUUUGAAGUGUGGACGCCAGUCUGCAUGGAGCCGACCUUGAAAUACCACCCUUUAAUGUUUGAUGUUCUAACGUUGACCCGUAAUCCGGGUUGCGGACAGUGUCUGGUGGGUAGUUUGACUGGGGCGGUCUCCUCCUAAAGAGUAACGGAGGAGCACGAAGGUUGGCUAAUCCUGGUCGGACAUCAGGAGGUUAGUGCAAUGGCAUAAGCCAGCUUGACUGCGAGCGUGACGGCGCGAGCAGGUGCGAAAGCAGGUCAUAGUGAUCCGGUGGUUCUGAAUGGAAGGGCCAUCGCUCAACGGAUAAAAGGUACUCCGGGGAUAACAGGCUGAUACCGCCCAAGAGUUCAUAUCGACGGCGGUGUUUGGCACCUCGAUGUCGGCUCAUCACAUCCUGGGGCUGAAGUAGGUCCCAAGGGUAUGGCUGUUCGCCAUUUAAAGUGGUACGCGAGCUGGGUUUAGAACGUCGUGAGACAGUUCGGUCCCUAUCUGCCGUGGGCGCUGGAGAACUGAGGGGGGCUGCUCCUAGUACGAGAGGACCGGAGUGGACGCAUCACUGGUGUUCGGGUUGUCAUGCCAAUGGCACUGCCCGGUAGCUAAAUGCGGAAGAGAUAAGUGCUGAAAGCAUCUAAGCACGAAACUUGCCCCGAGAUGAGUUCUCCCUGACCCUUUAAGGGUCCUGAAGGAACGUUGAAGACGACGACGUUGAUAGGCCGGGUGUGUAAGCGCAGCGAUGCGUUGAGCUAACCGGUACUAAUGAACCGUGAGGCUUAACC